UUUGGCCAAGUGUGGGUGUGUAUCUGUAUCCAUAGAUAAUCUAUCAGCUGUCCGUUAGUAUUACUGUAGGGACCCACAACAACACAAAGCUUGGCCUCCAUGACUGCAGUGUGAGCCAAUGGCCAUCCACCCUCCUCACUCCCCCUGGGCCUGUCUGUCCCGCAGGCCAGCUGUUAGGUCAGCUGGAAGUCAGGUCAGCUGUUAGGUCAGCUGGAAGUCAGGUCAGCUGUUAGGUCAGCUGGAAGUCAGGUCAGCUGUUAGGUCAGCUGGAAGUCAGGUCAGCUGUUAGGUCAGCUGGAAGUCAGGUCAGCUGUUAGGUCAGCUGGAAGUCAGGUCAGCUGUUAGGUCAGCUGGAAGUCAGGUCAGCUGUUAGGUCAGCUGGAAGUCAGGUCAGCUGUUAGGUCAGCUGGAAGUCAGGUCAGCUGUUAGGUCAGCUGGAAGUCAGGUCAGCUGUUAGGUCAGCUGGAAGUCAGGUCAGCUGUUAGGUCAGCUGGAAGUCAGGUCAGCUGUUAGGUCAGCUGGAAGUCAGGUCAGCUGUUAGGUCAGCUGGAAGUCAGGUCAGCUGUUAGGUCAGCUGGAAGUCAGGUCAGCUGUUAGGUCAGCUGGAAGUCAGGUCAGCUGUUAGGUCAGCUGGAAGUCAGGUCAGCUGUUAGGUCAGCUGGAAGUCAGGUCAGCUGUUAGGUCAGCUGGAAGUCAGGUCAGCUGUUAGGUCAGCUGGAAGUCAGGUCAGCUGUUAGGUCAGCUGGAAGUCAGGUCAGCUGUUAGGUCAGCUGGAAGUCAGGUCAGCUGUUAGGUCAGCUGGAAGUCAGGUCAGCUGUUAGGUCAGCUGGAAGUCAGGUCAGCUGUUAGGUCAGCUGGAAGUCAGGUCAGCUGUUAGGUCAGCUGGAAGUCAGGUCAGCUGUUAGGUCAGCUGGAAGUCAGGUCAGCUGUUAGUCAGCCCAGCUGGGUUUAACACUUACGGAAGUCACUUCCCUGUUUUGCACCUUAGAUGGGCCCUGUGUUAUCUUACCUGCACGGCUGUGCCUAACUAAGGUACAUCCGUCGUUAUUGUAAAAUAGAAUGUGUUCUCAAUGACUUACCUGGUUAAAUAAAGACUUGCCUGGUUAACUAAAGCUGUAUCUGGUUAAAUAAAG